UACGGAGGGUGCGAGCGUUGUCCGGAAUCACUGGGCGUAAAGGGCGCGUAGGCGGCCUGAUAAGUAGGGGGUGAAAUCCUGCGGCUUAACCGCAGGGCUGCCUUCUAAACUGUCAGGCUCGAGCACAGUAGAGGCAGGUGGAAUUCCCGGUGUAGCGGUGGAAUGCGUAGAGAUCGGGAAGAACAUCAGUGGCGAAGGCGGCCUGCUGGGCUGUUGCUGACGCUGAGGCGCGCCAGCGUGGGGAGCAAACAGG
rnacentral:rRNA from 1 species